GGGGGGGGGAGAGGAACAAGGGUGGGAAAUAGAGAAUAAAUAGGGAGUUCACAUAUUAUGCUUUUAUGAUGAUGAUGAUAAUUAUUUCUUCCUUUGUCUUGUAACCAAAUGGGUGCCGUGGCUUUUUAAGUUCUAGGUUUGGGGUAUUGCCUUUUUCUCUCCACUCCCGGGUUUUCUGCUGGUUGACACUGUGGCUAUUUCUGCUGCUACUGUUUACCAAGCAACCUGUUUUACAGGGAAAAUCCUAUGUUGCAGUCAUCAAUUAUCAAUGGGCCUCUUUCUCUGUUCGCCAAGCCGUUUUACAGGGAAAAUCCUAUUGCUGCAGUCGUCAAUUAUUAAAGGCCCUCUUUUCUCUGCAUCCUUCCCCUCUCUGCAUGUGCUAGCAUUUUGGGAGGGCAAAGGUCAGUAGAUCAAUAUCUAACAAGUGGGAGGAGGUGAGACCAAGAAACGGAGAGCGGCGGCAACUCCUCCUGCAUCUUUCCUUCCCAACGUAACCAAAACAAAACGAAAGGGAGACCAAGAGACUAAAUGCGAUAAAAAAACUAGUUCCCGCCUCCUCGUUCGUUGCACUGCCACUGGGACUAGGAUUAGGGUGCGAGAGAGAAGUGGGGGAAGAGAGGGAAAGUUGAGCUUUCGGUGGGUGCAAAUGUAAUAGGGGGAUGAGUAAAGUGAGGCUAAUAAUGGAUAAAUAAAUAAAUAAAUAUUCGUAUUAAAAAUAAAAAUAAAUAUUCACCACACGAUCAUCCCCGAGGUGGGAGAAUAUGUGAGCCAUGAAUGCGACGGAUUGCACCUCUCAGUGCGCCCUACACCCUCUUUCUUCCUCAUAGGUGGUGAGGUGGUGGGCCUUUGAUAGAUUCCCCUGCAAGGCCAG
rnacentral:lncRNA from 1 species